rnacentral:sRNA from 1 species
AUUCUCCUUGAUAACAGCGACGAUGUUGUUUUAUGGUCUGCGAAAUUAUCGCCAGCACCAGGGAGGAUAACGUUGCGUGAGCAACGGCCCGUAGGGCGAGGCGCAGCCGAGUAAUCCUCCCGGAUGCACCA